GUGGAAACCGAAAAGCACUCAAUUUCUCGCUAUAUAUAUGAAUAUUUGCGUUUCUAUUGUGUGUAAACGGAUUAAAUUAGUUAUAAAUGGUUAUAUUUCAUGCAUAUUUAUACUACCUUGGGUUUAUUAUGAGGUAUUAAGCCCCAAAAUUGGAUAAAUAUCGGCAAUAUACCGACCGAAAAGCACUUCAUGUGAAGACCGAAAAGCACUCAAUUUCUCGCUAUAUAUAUGAAUAUUUGCGUUUCUAUUGUGUGUAAACGGUUUAAAUUAGUUAUAAAUGGUUAUAUUUCAUGCAUAUUUAUACUACCUUGUGUUUAUUAUGAGGUAUAAAUGCCCGAAAUUUUAUAAAUAUCGGCAAUAUACCGACCGAAAAGCACUUCAUGUGAAGACCGAAAAGCACUCAAUUUCUCGCUAUAUAUAUAUAUAAUAUUUGCGUUCCUAUUGUGUGUAAACGGUUUAAAUUAGUUAUAAAUGGUUAUAUUGCAUG